AAGAUUCUGAGGACAGCAAGAUGUCAGAGCACUUGCGAAAAACGGAUGUGUAUUCUUAUUUUAGGGGUUGCUUUAAGUUGUUUUUAUGUUGACAAUGCUGAAUACGUGGUACCCAAGUAAGAGCCCUAUAAAGAAAACACAAUGAUUCCGAGACAAGGGACAAAAAGGGACUUAUUUUCAGGAGUGUUGGUUGCUGAGAAAGGGUUCCAGUGUGGACAGUGAUGAGGAUGAGGAGGAGCUCUAUGCAGCAGGAAACAUGGUCAUAGGGAGCAGAGGGAACAAGAGUCAAGCUUCCCAUGUUUACAAGGCUUUCACUGUGGGCAGUCUAGUACUACAGAUCACUAGAGUUGGGGCCUGUUCCCGAGGGAGCCGUAUUUCCUCCGCCUCGGGCUUGUCAGAGUCGUGGAAGAAGAAAAAGGAUUCCGCUAGUCUGUGAGCAGGAUGUUAUGGAACAGACUGUGUGGUAUGUCCCGAGCAGCUGUGUGAAUGUACACAGUGUGACACCGAAGGACUUAAUCUCCCCUCUACACUUUCAGGGAACCUCUUCCCACUGUAUUCAGUAUGAUGCACCCUCUGGAUGAGAGUGGUGUGCAUACCUACAGGUCUGUUCGAGGCUGCCUGUGUGCAAUACGUCUCUGACAGCACCAUGAAAAUCAUCUUCUUCAACUGCAAGCCCUCCAUAGUUAUAUGACACUGUGCAGGGCAUACACUCAGUCACUCCAGAUGUGGCAGUGCUCUCCCCUGUAUCAGAGCUGAGGGACUCCACCAAGCACCACGAGCCCUCCUGUCUGGGUGACUACAUCUUCCAAGUCUGUUCCCUACAUGCAUGCCCUCGGAGACCCCUUCAGCAGCAGUGUCACCCUGGUGUGUGCGUGUAUUGAUAUGUGUGAAAGGGGGAGGGUAUAGUGAGUGUGGACCUCAAGGGGUAAAUGUUUCUUGAAUGGACGCUAAUUAAUAAAUGUUUAUGUAUUGUAACAUAGAAAUCUCUGCUUGUGUAUAGAACAGAACUGAGCACCAGAGGCAUGUUGGUAUGUUUACUGGGUCCAAUAAGGUCACAGCUCUCUAGGUCGACAUUGUUACCUGCAAGGGGUAGUUUUGUCAAGACCGGUGAAGACAUGCCAUUCAGCCAAGGGAACUUCUCUCCCAGACCUGUCAGUCAUUUCCAUGCCCUUCUGAGCAAACCACUUUUAACAGAUGUUUUUGAAAAGAUUUGUAAAUGUCAAAGUCCAAUUGAGAAGGUUCUAAAAAAUGUCAUAUUGAUUAGAUAUUUAUCCCCUGAUAUCUUAAUGUAUGUACAAUUAUUCAGCAAUAUGUAACAUUCAAUAUUGUUGAAUGACAUGUAGAUCUCAAAUGAUCCAUAUCUCUGUCUGUUUAGUUUUUUUGUAGGAGCUAAGCAAUGGCACAAUGUUGAGGAGAACUAGCCCUGAAAUUGCUACCUCGGGGCUGGCUGGACCCCUUUACCCCGCUCUUCCCCCCACAUCCCAGCCCUGUAUGUGCUGAAGAUGGACGAGGAGCGGGGGAGCGACGACGAUCACUGCUGGGCCUCCUGCAACAGCUGGCCAGCCCAGAUGCUGCGCCCGUGCUUCGUGAGGGCGGCACCUCCGUGUGUUCAGCUGGCUCAGCAGCUGUCUGGAUGGUGAGGAGGUAGCACCUACCUGCCCGGCAUCUGUGAGAGAGCCAAACUACUGGUGCUGAGCUACGCCCUGUACAUGAUUGGAAAUGGCAAUGCCACUUCAGUUGAUGUUUUGAAGUAUCUAGCCACGGUCUCCAGGCCAAAAGAAAACUAAUUGCAGCAGCUUUGAGACAUAGCAGUAUCAGCCUGAUGCUCCAAAUGAAAGUUUGGCUGAAAAGAUUGUUGUUUGGCUAACAUCAGCAGGUUUCACAUUGAAAUAUCUUGAAUCCAUGCUCUUUGGUGUGGCUCUGCCCAUCUGCCUGUUGAUUGGGUGAAAGGACCUCACCAAGAAAGCACUCAAAGUUACCGUGGCCAAAGGCAAAGCUGUACGUGUGAGUUUGGGGGGUUAUUGGAUAGUUUGGGCUUCAUCUUUACAACCUUGUGGACUUGUAGUUAAUGUUUGUCUGUUUUGUGUGUGUGCGGUCCGGGGCUGAUGCUGGAGGCUCCAGCCACCACAGAGGCAGACGAUAAGGAGGUUGGUAUGAGUGAUCUGAACCAGGAUGUGAUUGGUCUCAUCUGGGGCCAGGAGGCCAGACGUCACCUCCAGAGCUCCCGAGUGGUCCACCUGGCCGAAAGUCAGCGACAUAGAGGAGAAGGAGAACAACGGGAACAUUGACCUUCCUCCCAACAUGACGAGCUGGUCCAGCUUUCACAACUGGGUGUCUGCAGGCCUGAACAUCGCCCCUGGCCUCCCAGGUGGACUCUGCCUGCAUCGCCGACAACAAGCCCAAGAGCCCUGAUCAGGCUCAUGAGUACGCAGGCUUCUUCAUGUCUCUGGGCCUCAACGGACACCUCAGCAAGCUGGUCACACUCAACGUACAUGACGACAUCACCGAGUGAACCACGCUGAGUAGGAAGUCCAUGGAGGACUAAUUAAAAUGGCUGCCUUGACAUGACUAGCAUCGGGCUGCUACUGGGUGUGUCUGCAGCCAAGCUGAGAAACAUGGACGUGUCAAUCACCCACCUGCAGAGCAUCCACAUCCCAGCACUGCUCCCACCCACCUCCACUGAGCUGGACGUACCGCACAACGUGCAGGUGUCGGCCGUGUUGGGCAUCGGCCUGGUCUUCCAGGACACGGGCCACCGCCACAACGCAGAGGUGUGCUCGCUGAGAUCGGAAAAUGACCCAACACUCCUCCAGGCUAUUUGACCAAGAAGGAGAGUGAUGGAGUGCUGCAUCAGAGGACCUGGCUUCCACAAUCACCCAACCUCAACCCAAUUGAGAUGGUUACUACGUGAAUCCGUAUGUAUUAUUUCAAAGUUUAUUCUACAAUGUAGAAAAUAGUAAAAAAUAAAGAAAAACACUUGAAUGAGUAGGUGUUCUAAAACUUUUGACCGGUAGUGUACAUUGUGAUAUUUUUGUAUAGUGGUUUUAAACAUUUUGUGUUGUAAAUAUGUAGUGGUGUAAUGAUGUACUGUUUUGCAGGAAGUUAUCAACUGUACUGCUGUUUAUGUAGAGCGGCGAUAAAAAGAAACAUGGAAAGCACUCUUCAUACUUCAAAAGGCUGAUAAAUAAAUAGUGCACAAAACCAUGGUCUAAGAGAAUACUAUGACCAGAGAUUUAAGAAUGUCCUAAGUGUGGGGGUUUCUGGUCAUCAACGUGGACGUCACCUGUCCAAGAGCGACCCUGGCUAUGAUCUACCUGAAGACCAACAACAGGUCUAUCGCAGGUUGGCUGAAAGCUAAAGACACCAUGUUCCUCCUGGACUGUACUCUGGACACUGGCUAGGUGUAUCAGCAUGUGGGAUGAGAUACUGCCCAACUCGAAAGCAGCAAUGUUCCCCCGGCAAGCCCAUGACCACAUAAUUGCUGGAACCUGUAUGACUGUGGGAUUCCACUUUGCUGGCUCGGCCAACUCUGACGCAUUCGACUGCUUGACAGGCCACUAUAACUUACAGAUGUGUCUGAGCAUGUUGUUGUCCAUGCUGAUGGCUGGCUCUGGUGACCUGAAGGUGCUGGAGCUCUGCCGCGUCCUCCAGAAGAGGACCAGAACUAUGACCCACCACAUGGCCCUGGGAGGAGGCAGGUACACUCCAACUCGGCCAUCGCUACCUUGCCAUGUGCGCUCUACCACCAGUUUCCUGCCCACAGCACAGUUAACCGAUUCAAGUAAAAGGACCAUUGAUACUGGAAGCUGUCCAUAGACCUGAGGUAAAGGAACUCCACAUCUUGAAGGGACGAGAGUGCAUGAGAAUACAGGUUUUGGCCAGUCAGGUCCAUUCUGUCCAGAGAUGGGGUUCUGUAUCUGAAGCUAGGCCCUAUAAGGUUGACCUUCUGGACUGGAAGAAUCUAUUAUCCCCGUCGUCGUCAACAGGAACUCAGAAGUCCGCACAUUCAAGGUACAAACAUCCGGGUCCUCUGUUUACACAAAACUGGACUGACUGGUCACCUUUUAACUAGUUACAUGUCAUCAGGUACUUCAUCAGUACUACUUCAGUACUACAUAUUGGAUAUUGGCUACAUAGGAGAUUCAAUGAUACUUAGCGUACAAGCAUAACUUUGUCAACAUGGCAUGUUGCAUAUACCAGUACACAUUUAUUUCAUUAGUAUGUUAAGGUUGCAAAACUUGAACCACUGAAAAUGAAAUCAAUGAACUAUCAACACAUAGCUAGCAUAAUGAGUCUCGAACAUCCGUGUUGGCCAGUCAGAAAGAAGCAUGAAUGAGACAUUUAGAUAUUGAUACUGAUAUAAUCCCAGUAUAGCAUAGAGCAGUGCACGUGACGUCACUGUGGGGCGGCAAAACAACCAAUAUGUCUCGACACUGUGUGGCAGAAUAUUUCCCUGUGAGCCUACCAGCCUAUGGUCCAAUAGCCUUUUAGUCAACAUGUCCCCUGUCCCACGAGAUGCAAUAACUCAUUGGAAACCGUCAAGUGCCUCCGUCAGGCACGAUCAGCAGACCUUGUUGUUGUAGCAGUUAUUUUUUCUCCCACAGCCAGAGGCCAUCUCGACCUUCCACUCCGACGCUGCCUUGGUCUCCUUCGCUGAAUAAUUCUGUAAAGCCUUGGAUAGCAUGAGACACGUUGAUUAGCAGAGUGGAUGCUAUGUGAUGCAACUUAACGUUGUAACACAGAGCCAACAUUGAGGGUUUAAAUUAGACUUAAAUACUGCCUAUGUCGCUCCCCUUGUGAAACCGUUUGUUAAUCACUUGAAUCCCAUUUCCACCAGGUAGAUAUCACUAUAUGUAAUUGGACAUGUGGAAUAUUUAUUUUUGAAUACACUGUGAAAUUGAAGGAGAUUGGUUCUAACCUUCAGCUCAUGAUUGGAUUGCAAUUAUUGAAACACCCCUCACUGUCCUAUUUUAUAAUUCCACAGUUUCUGUUUCUGAUUGUUCAAUUGAUAAGCACUCACUGAAUGGAGCUUCUAUUUACUGUUGUUGCACUGAAUCAAAUCAAAUCAAAUUUUAUUUGUCACAUACACAUGGUUAGCAGAUGUUAAUGCGAGUGUAGCGAAAUGCUUGUGCUUCUAGUUCCGACAAUGCAGUAAUAACCAACAAGUAAUCUAA